GAAAUCUGAUAGGUGAGGAGGCCGGCGGGCCGCGCAGGGCGGCGCGGGCUGGGGGACGCGGCGGGCGGCUCCGGGAGGCGACGGGACCCCCAGGCCGGCAGCCGAGUGAAGAGGCAGGAACUGUCUACAAAUGCUCCGGCUCCGAAGCCCCGAGGGAAAGAGCAUCUUUCACGGAGCACCAGGAAUUGACGACGGUGGAAUUUGCUCAGAUCCCCUGAGGCCGGUUCUUUGAGUUUCUGUCUGGCCCUCCGGGAGAACCGUCCCAAAGUUAACUUUGAAAACACUCACAGGAGAGGGAAGGCUGUGGGGUCCUUCGCUUCUCAAACCCCAGAUGCCCCCGGAAAGAACACCGCCCCCGACCACCACCACAACCAGAUGUUUUUAAAAAGAGAUGCUAAGCAAAAGGCCUGAUUAUGAGGAAUGAGCCAAAGUCAUGCAAGGCGUGGGGCGCUAUGGGACUGCGCAGUGACGACCCAGUGAAGUAGAUGCCUUGACGAUUCCCAUUUCACGGAUGAGACGACUCCGGCACAGAGAAGUCAGAGGGCCUGUCCUGGGUCACACAGCCACAGGCGGCCCCCAGAACGGGACUUCAGGGUGCACCACUGCACCCCAGCAGAGACCUCCGCCUGGCACACAGGGAAUGCUGGAGCAAUACUUAAAUAGUGAUCCUGACUUCAGAAUGCAGCAUCCGUGAACGUGCCAUGUUGCAUGCAGCUAACCAGUGCUUGGAGAGACUGGACUUAAGCUCUUGUCUUCAACCCAGACCCAAGGACUGCCUGUUCCUUUGCAGAACUGCCUAGUACACAGAGUUAAACGUCGUGUAGCUUGUAUGAUUGGGAAGGAAGCAGAAAGUAGAAUUCUGAAAUAACAUAACUGAUUUUUUUUCAACCAGCAUGGCAGCUUUUCGUGUUUGGAAGCCUUCAGAAUCAUUUCCUACCCUCUCAAGGAACCCAUUCUUUAGAGGUACACACCGUUCCUGUCAGAGAGGCUAUCUUCCUAGUGCUAAAUGAUUUUUUGAUGCACUGAAAAUUAAAUUCACACUCAAAUUUCUGCAUUUGAGGAGAUUUUCCUGUACGCUGAGCUCUGUCAAAAGAGGUAUAUUGAAGAGAGGGUAGUUCUGGGACCAUUUGCAAGACAGCGCAUUGAUUGGAAGCCUAUACAUUCUGGAGUGUUGGCUUAAUAUGUUGAUCAUCCUUUGAGGUGGGGCACAAGGAAAAAUAAACUAUUUCUCCUUCAGGAACAUACAGUGGCAUAAGAGAGACCAACUUGGUGAUAACUGAUCAUAGGAUUAGACCAAGGUGCAGAAGCAAACAGAACCUCCAUAAAAUGUAAUGAUGUCUUGUGCCUGCAAUCCUAGUGCUUUCAGAGGCCAAGGUGGGAAGAUUCCUUGAGCUCAGGAGUUCGAGACCAGCCUGAACAACACAACAAGACCUCGUAUCUAUGAAAAAAUAAAAAUAAUAAAAUUAGCUGCACACCUAUUUGGUGGCACACACCUGUGGUCCCAGGUACUCGGGAGGCUGAGAUGAGAUCAUUUGAGCCCAGGAGAUCAAGGCUGCAAUCAGCUGUGAUCAUGCCACUGCCCUCCAGCCUGGACAACUGAGCGAGACCCUGUCUCCAAAAAAAGUAAAAUUAAAAAAAAAAUUAAAAUGUGAUGGAGUGCAGAGGAAAGGUCAGUUGAUUCUCACUAAGGGUUGGACUUCAUUGGUGAUUUUCUGUCUUUUUAAGAGUUAGAAACUCCUUUUUCAAAUGAAACGUGUAUGGACCUCCAAUGUCUUCAGCCAGGUCAGAGAUGUUUUGUUGGGGACGGGGGCUUCCAGCCCACUGAACACCCCUGUCCUGCCAUAGCCCCAGAGGUACCACCUUGGGCUCUGCCCAGUGCUGCUUCAACACCUCCAGAUGGGAGGAGAGGGACCUUUCCUUCCAGUUCUAACCCCCACAUCAGUCAAGGGAACCCUGUACAAAAUGCUGAGAAAGCCAAAGAAAGUCAGAGUGCAGGCAGCUUCUUGUGACUUACUGCGGGGGCUCCUUGUGUCUCCCCUCCUCCUGCCUGUUAGACUUCUCCUUGCUGGCUGGGCCCACGCGUGGAUGCACGGGUGCGGAGGAUGGGAACCCAGGAUCACUCAGCAACGUGCUUCUUGUCAGCUUCCUGCAAAGGGGAGAAAUCACGCGUCAACCAGAAGCUUUUAAGUGAAAAUCUGAGGACCUCCUACCUUCAUCCACCAGAAUGCUGCAGCUUUCAAAGUACUUUCUAGACAAUGUCAUUCAAGCUUGUGAUAAUCCCACUGGGUGGGAUGAGUGGGAGGUGUUAUUAUUUCACAGAUGAAAUUGAGGUUCGUUGGUGACUGAGCACCUCUUGUCACCUCACUGUCCCAUGUCCACAAUGGAGAUGCAGGAAAGGUGCUUUGAACUUUGGUCAGCACCUAGUAAGCCCUCAGUGCACGUUAGCACUGGUCAUUCGGUAGUGACCCAGGAGCUCAUCACUAGGAAGUGGCGGACUGGGAAGCAGAAUCAGACCUCCAAAUUCCCCCCAGGACCUGUCGCUCACUCUGCUAUUUGAGUGUCCAGCCCAGAAGCAUUUUCGGAUCUCCAAAAUAAAGUCAAAAGUGCUAGCAAUGCUUGGUGAAUUAAUAACAUGUGAUGUUGGCCAGGCACAGCGGCUCACGCCUAUAAUCCCAGCACUUUGGGAGGCCGAGGCGGGUGGAUCACGAAGUAAGGAGAUCGAGACCUUCUUGGCUAACACGGUGAAACCCCGUCUCUACUAAAAAUACAAAAAAUUAGCCGGGCGCGGUGGCGGGCGCCUGUAGUCCCAGCUACUGGGGAGGCUGAGGCAGGAGAAUGGCGUGAACCUGGGAGGCGGAGCUUGCAGUGAGCUGAGAUGGCACCACUGCAGUCCGGCCUGGGCGAAAGAGUGAGACUCCAUCUCAAAAAUUAAUUAAUUAAUUAAUUAAUUAAAAAAUAAAACAACACUGUGAUGUUAAGGCCCUAUUUUCCAGGAUUUAUCAUGAUUGGUUUUAUUGAGUAAAGCCUGGGCAAAAGACUUAGGUGUCAAUUUCGAAAGACUCAUUUAAGUAUCUUUUUAGAAGUAACAUUAUGUAUUAUUAUUGUU
ensembl:lncRNA B3GALT5-AS1 B3GALT5 antisense RNA 1